GACGUAGGGCGCGAGCGUUGUCCGGAUUUAUUGGGCGUAAAGAGCGUGUAGGCGGCCAAACAGGUCAGCUGUGAAAACUCGAGGCUCAACCUCGAGACGUCGGUUGAAACCGUUUGGCUAGAGUCCGGAAGAGGAGAGUGGAAUUCCUGGUGUAGCGGUGAAAUGCGCAGAUAUCAGGAGGAACACCGGUGGCGAAGGCGGGUCUCUGGGCCGAUACUGACACUGAGGAGCGAAAGCGUGGGGAGCGAACAGG
rnacentral:rRNA from 1 species